UACCCGCAGCUCAAGUGGUGGCCACUAUUAUUGAGCCUAAAGCGUCCGUAGCCGGUCUUGUAAAUCUCUGGGUAAAUCCUGCCGCUUAACGGUGGGAAUGCUGGAGAGACUGCAAGACUGGGGAUCGGGUGAAGCGAGAGGUACUCCUGGGGUAGGGGUAAAAUCCUGUAAUCCUGGGGGGACGACCGGUGGCGAAAGCGUCUCGCUAGAACGACUCCGACGGUGAGGGACGAAGGCUAGGGGAGCAAACCGGAUUAGAUACCCGGGUAGUCCUAGCUGUAAACGCUGCACACUUGGUGCUGCCCCUUCUUCGGGAAAGGGCAGUGCCGGAGCGAAGGUGUUAAGUGUGCCGCUUGGGGAGUAUGGUCGCAAGGCUGAAACUUAAAGGAAUUGGCGGGAGAGCACCGCAACGGGAGGAGCGUGCGGUUUAAUUGGAUUCAACGCCGGAAAACUCACUAGGGAAGACCAUGGUAUGAGGGUCAACUUGAAGAAUUUACUCGAUUACAUGGAGAAGUGGUGCAUGGCCGUCGUCAGCUCGUACCGUAAAGCGUUCACUUAAGUGUGAUAACGAGCGAGACCCCCAUCCACCUUUGCCAGUACUGUCGCGAGACAGCACGCACUAUGUGGAGACUGCCAGUGCAGAACUGGAGGAAGGAGGGGUCGACGGCAGGUCAGUACGCCCCGAAUCUUCCGGGCAACACGCGCGCUACAAAGGACAGGACAAUGGGCUGCGACCUCGAAAGGGGAAGCCAAUCCCGAAACCUGUUCGUAGUUAGGAUUGAGGGCUGUAACUCGCCCUCAUGAAUCUGGAUUCCGUAGUAAUCGCGGGUCAACAUCCCGCGGUGAAUAUGCCCCUGCUCCU
rnacentral:rRNA from 1 species